ACGAGGAACUGUAUUAAAGGGUCUUAGCAUUAGUAACCUUAGUUCUCAUGGAUGUGAUACUCUUUUCUGGUCUUUGGACAUCUGCAUGCAUGCACAGGCACACACAUACAUAUCGUUUAGAACAGUAUCUCAGUAAUCCAGCUUCAAGUUUUAUGGUUAACUAGUGGGACUAGCUCAAGGUACAAAGGCCUAAUGUGGUCCCAAACAGCCUGUGUUCGAUGGUUGCCUGAGUCAGGAAAAUAUGUGCAUCUAAUGGCUGCAGUCUGAUAGGAAACUGCUGUUCUGUGGGCUUUAACACGAAGUGAGGAAAGCCCUUGUCUUAGUUAGUGUUUUAUUGCCCAUGCCCACAACAACUCUUAUAAAUGACAACAUGUAGUUAGGGCUGGUUUCAAGUUUCAGAGGUUCAGUCCACUAUCAUCAUGGCAGAAAGCACAGCAACGCACAGGCAGACAUGGUGCUGGAGGAGCUGAGAGGUCUACAUUUUGGUCCAUAGGCAGCAAGGAGAAAUUUGCCACACUGAGUGUAGCUUGAGCGUAGAAGACCUCAAAACCCACCUCCACAGUGACAUACUUCCUUCAAGAAGACCACACCUCUUAGUUGUGCCACCACUCUCUAUGGCCAACCAUUCAAGCACAUGAAUCUAUGGGGGCCAUCCCUAUUCAAACCACCACUGCCCUCAUUCCUUCUGGGGAUGUGGGCACAGUUCGUCAGCUCAGUCGGCGCGUCAGUUGUCCAUGGUGCAGCAUGCACAACUGGGAGAUGCUCCUAACCUCCUGUACUCUCCUCCGGCAGGUUUUCAACAUCUUUCCUGGCUGGUGCAAGAGAGGCAACCUCAACUGGCCAUCCUGACCUCCCUCUGGGUCAACCCCCACACUCUGCAGAGAGCUUGCUUCUCUAAAGCUAAAGAAGUCCGGGUUAUUCUUCAAUGUGGAGCUCAAGCAUCAGCUUCUAUAGAAAGGCUUUCCCAAUGUCACCAAGCAACAUCUUCACUCUUGAGAGCAUGAGUAAUAAAUCUGUUUCACCUGG
rnacentral:sRNA from 1 species